GGGGCUGCCCGUCGUCUUCCAUGAUGGUGGGCGAGCGCCGCUCUCCGCAGCCGCGCCCGGGGGCAGCGCCGGAGGGGCUGGGCGGCGCACGGAGGCGAAGGGAAGAUAAAAUUAUCCUUCUGAAGAACAGCAGGUGUGGUGAGACUUAAAAUAACUCUUCAAAUAUGGACGAUUUCAGACAUGUAACAGAAAUUCCUGGGGCAAAAUUUGGAGAUCUCCUCACAGCUGCUACCCAGCCCUUGGUCAGACUGGGCAGAUUCCUGUGAGCUAAGUGGGAAGUAGCACAGAAUUAUGGAAUGCAACCAGAAAAGGAGCCUGAAUUUAAACCAUGUCCUGAAAACAUGCUUUCCACUCCUGAC